rnacentral:rRNA from 1 species
UUUUCCCUACCGUAAGGUGGUAGGUGAAUAAGAGCUGGGCAAGACCGGUGCCAGCCGCCGCGGUAAUACCGGCAGCUCGAGUGAUGGCCAAUAUUAUUGGGCCUAAAGCGUCCGUAGCUGGCCGAACAGGUCCGUCGGGAAAUCCGCUCGCUCAACGAGCGGACGUCCGGCGGAAACCAGUCGGCUUGGGACCGGAAGACCCGAGGAGUACGUCCGGGGUAGGAGUGAAAUCCUGUAAUCCUGGACGGACCACCGGUGGCGAAAGCGCCUCGGGAGGACGGAUCCGACAGUGAGGGACGAAAGCUUGGGUCACGAACCGGAUUAGAUACCCGGGUAGUCCAAGCUGUAAACGAUGCUCGCUAGGUGUGGCACUGGCUACGAGCCAGUGCUGUGCCGUAGGGAAGCCGAGAAGCGAGCCGCCUGGGAAGUACGUCCGCAAGGAUGAAACUUAAAGGAAUUGGCGGGGGAGCACUACAACCGGAGGAGCCUGCGGUUUAAUUGGACUCAACGCCGGACAUCUCACCAGCACCGACAGUGUGCGAUGAAGAUCAGUGUGAUGAGCUUAUUGGAGCCACUGAGAGGAGGUGCAUGGCCGCCGUCAGCUCGUACCGUGAGGCGUCCUGUUAAGUCAGGCAACGAGCGAGACCCGCAUCCUUAAUUGCCAGCAGUACCCUUGUGGUAGCUGGGUACAUUAGGGAGACUGCCGUGGCCAACACGGAGG